GGGUGAGUAACACGUAGGUGACCUACCUUUUAGUGGGGGAUAACUCCGAGAAAUUGGAGCUAAUACCGCAUAAGAUGGAUAAUUUUGAAAGUAAUCCAUGAAAGGAUGCCUCUUCUUGAAAGCAUUCACUGAAAGAUGGGCCUGCGGAUCAUUAGUUUGUUGGUGGGGUAAUGGCCUACCAAGACUUCGAUGAUUAGCGGAUCUGAGAGGAUGAUCCGCCACACUGGAACUGAGACACGGUCCAGACUCC
rnacentral:rRNA from 1 species